UUCCCAAUAUUAAUAAAUUUAUUUUCCAACCAUGAGUGAUGAGUCAUGACAGCUUAAUAUAGCUACAGAAGCACGCAUCUCCAUAGUACUAUUAUAUGCUAAGCUUACAGUUACUCUACCGUAAUUCCACUGAACUAGUGUAUCUGAAUUUGAGGCCUUGCAAUACAUUCUUUGCAUCUCAACUUGCUUGGCAGUCUUUAAUGAGGAAACAGGAUGAUAACGAUUUCAAAUUUUUUCUUUUUCAGGUUGAAUGAAGGAGAUGCAUACUACCUCCUGAAGGAUUUUGUACUCCUCAUUCAGUCCAUAAGAACAUCACUGAGUGAGCUCUGCGAUGAUCCAAACGAUAAUGUUUUACUGGCAUUUCAAAAACUGGGAGAAGUCUACCAAAGUAAACUGAAUGCAGUCUGAGUCUGCUGGUUACAGUGGAUGAUUAAGAGUGUGUUAACUACGUGUGUGGGGCGGGGUGUUACCCACAAAAAAACCCACAAAAACCCAACCAACAAAAAUGAAAGAACCCAAACCUAAAAACCAGUAGUACUCUUACCAUAUAUACAUGAUCAACUACCUCUUAAAUUAGAAAGUGACUGAAUGUUCAGAUGUAUUUCAUUAUAGAAUUUUAGUAAAACCCAGCAUUAGGAAUGAAAGAUAACCACAGAAAAUUGAUCUUAUCAUAUUAAUGUUUUAGUAAUUCUACUGUCAAUUAAAUUAU
rnacentral:lncRNA from 1 species